rnacentral:rRNA from 1 species
GCGUAGAUAUAUGGAGGAACACCGGUGGCGAAAGCGGCUCUNUGGUCUGUAACUGACGCUGAGGCUCGAAAGCGUGGGGAGCGAACAGGAUUAGAUACCCUGGUAGUNCACGCCGUAAACGAUGAGUGCUAGGUGUUAGGCCCUUUCCGGGGCUUAGUGCCGCAGCUAACGCAUUAAGCACUCCGCCUGGGGAGUACGACCGCAAGGUUGAAACUCAAAGGAAUUGACGGGGGCCCGCACAAGCGGUGGAGCAUGUGGUUUAAUUCGAAGCAACGCGAAGAACCUUACCAGGUCUUGACAUCCCGAUGCCCGCUCUAGAGAUAGAGUUUUACUUCGGUACAUCGGUGACAGGUGGUGCAUGGUUGUCGUCAGCUCGUGUCGUGAGAUGUUGGGUUAAGUCCCGCAACGAGCGCAACCCUUAUUGUUAGUUGCCAUCAUUCAGUUGGGCACUCUAGCGAGACUGCCGGUAAUAAACCGGAGGAAGGUGGGGAUGACGUCAAAUCAUCAUGCCCCUUAUGACCUGGGCUACACACGUGCUACAAUGGCUGGUACAACGAGUCGCAAGUCGGUGACGGCAAGCUAAUCUCUUAAAGCCAGUCUCAGUUCGGAUUGUAGGCUGCAACUCGCCUACAUGAAGUCGGAAUCGCUAGUAAUCGCGGAUCAGUACGCCGCGGUGAAUACGUUCCCGGGCCUUGUACACACCGCCCGUCACACCACGAGAGUUUGUAACACCCGAAGUCGGUGAGGNAACCUUUUAGGAGCCAGCCGC